CACACAUCUCCAUCAUUCCAUCUUUUUCAUUGCUCGAAUUUCUUUCAAGUUUUCAUCUCAAUGUUAAUCGCGAUCUGAAUUCUUUUCUCGGACAAGCUAGUGCUGAUUUUGAUUGAAAUCUGAAUCGCGUUCUAAUCAUCAGGGUUUGAAGCCUUAUUCAAAUUGAAUAUAUGUUUGAUGAAGUGAAAAAAGCCUCUGCAUCUUGCAUUCCUUACAUCAAAGCAUUCUUGUUGAUACUGCUAUAACUCAGCAUAGUAUGGGUGAUGAAGCUACUAUAAAGGAAAUAAUUUCUGAGGUGAAUACAGAUAAUGAUGGAAGAAUAAACUAUGAGAAAUUCUGUGCAAUGAUGAGAAGUGGAACCCCACACCUAGGACAAUUACACUAAAUCUCUUGAAUUCGGUCAAUUUCACACCAUUGAUCUAUAUUUGUUGAAGUAUUGUUUGGUACGAAUUUAAAUUCGAGCUGUCACAUGUUAGUGUACUGAAGCCGAAAUUUUCAUGUUAAAGUAUCAGCUAUGAUGUCCUAUGAGGAUUUAUCAUUCUGUAUGUUGACUGAGGAAAGAGCAGCAAUGAGGUAAGGCAAGUUUGGUUUGUUGAAUCUGUAAUGAAGUACAAACUUAAAUAUAGUUGUUCAAUUUGAAAUCCUUUCUUGCAUAUUCUUUCUGAUCAUUACUUUUUAUUCUUGUGUGAUUACUUAUUGAAAUCCUUUCCUGUAUAUUCAAUUUGAAAGUUUAGUGAAGUUACUUAUUGAAUGAAUUCUAAAGAAUUUAAACUUUAUUUAUCAUUUUAAUUUUUAUAGUAUUAUUCUUCCUGAAGUAACACCAAGACUUCUCUUCAGAUAUUUUAUUUCUGCGUUAAAGUACUGCUACUUAAUGCUUUUAUUUCUUGUUUGACACAUAGGUCUUGAAAUUCUUGAUGGAAAGAAAGUGUCAAUGCCCUUUAUAGUCAGGUUACAAUUGGAAUACUAAUUCUGCAAGUUCGUACUAUUAUGUUUAUAUUUCAGAUGUAUAUAUUUGACUGGAACAGUGUUUUCACCAAUUUUUAAAAAUAGAGUGCAAACUAAUGCUAUGAGCUGAUAUUUCUUAUUGAGGAUUUCUCUCACACAAUUUCUAAUGCAAUAUUCAAAAUCAUUUAUUCCUGUCAGGAUUGUGCUAUUAGUUUGCUCUUUGCAUUGCUUCCAGUAUUGAGUGGUACAUCAGGUGUUCUUGAGGGAAUAACAUACAUAACUAAAUCGUGAGUAAAUUAUAGAAUUGAUUGUUAGUAUUUUAUAAAAAGUUAAUGACUAAAUUAAUUAUAGUUUUUUGGUAGCUGCCUCUAUUAUCUCUGCUAUAUUUGGCUAUUCUGAAUAUCUAUUUCUUCUUCUACUAUGUUCUAAUUAACCUGAGAUUGAAUUGUUUUAUUGAACAAAAUGAUUAAAAACUUAAUUAAAAUAAGCUUGAUUAUCAUACAUUGCACAAGUUAAAGUAGAACUGAUUUGAUGGUCCUGUACUUGUUUAUCUUUUAUCAGAAUCACUAAAUCUUGCUAUCUAGAAAAAGCACUUUAUGUGAAUGGAUUAGUGAUUUUUUUUUCUUGACUUCUUGCAAUAACCAAUUAAUUAGAAGCCAAAAAGGAUAUAAAGUGGUGAAAAAGCAUUUUAUAUUUUGGUUGAAGUGUUAAUUAAAUAUAUUCUAUUAGACCAUCACAACCUAUCGUAUAUAUAACGUAAUGUUAGAAAAAGAGAAAAUUAUUCCAAAGACAAACAGAAUAUAAAAAAAUCAAGUAGAAUAUAGAUAGCAUAUAUAGGAGAUAUAUGAGCAUUUUUCUUGUAUCGUAAUCUUCUUUUAUUAUGUUCUACUGUGUAUUAUGUUCUAGAAUUUAGUGCUUUGUUAAGUUCGAAGGUUGCAAUGGACGAUGGUUUAGUUACGUCUCACUUGCAAAUUUCACUCUAUCAGGUAUCAAUCUAUUAUCUAUUCAUCUAGACCUUUUCGUCUCAGUUUUUAACCUGGAUUAAUUUAAUUUUUUUAACUGUUGCUGUUCAUCAGUGAUGUUAAGGUUUUUGAGCUGGUUAAUUAUCGUCAGUAUUGCAAAGAUCAGCUAGUUCCAUGGAGGUGGAUGAACUUGUUUGCCCCAAGAUGAUGCUUCAAGUUUUGCAGAGACACGUCAAAUGCUAGGGAACAGUUUCAAAAUGCUUCCUCCUAAAUGGAUCGACCAAUUUGAUUCUGGCAUUCAUCAGGUCACUUCUGCGGGAAGCUCAUUUUGAGAUAGAAGGGGACAUAGUCACCCUGCAGGAAGCUCAUUUUGAGUUUAUAG